rnacentral:rRNA from 1 species
CCUACGGGGGGCUGCAGUGGGGAAUAUUGGACAAUGGGCGAAAGCCUGAUCCAGCCAUGCCGCGUGUGUGAAGAAGGCCUUCGGGUUGUAAAGCACUUUCAGUGGGGAAGAAAGCCUUGGGGCUAAUACCCUCGAGGAAGGACAUCACCCACAGAAGAAGCACCGGCUAACUCCGUGCCAGCAGCCGCGGUAAUACGGAGGGUGCGAGCGUUAAUCGGAAUUACUGGGCGUAAAGCGCGCGUAGGCGGUCUGAUAAGCCGGUUGUGAAAGCCCCGGGCUCAACCUGGGAACGGCAUCCGGAACUGUCAGGCUAGAGUGCAGGAGAGGAAGGUAGAAUUCCCGGUGUAGCGGUGAAAUGCGUAGAGAUCGGGAGGAAUACCAGUGGCGAAGGCGGCCUUCUGGACUGACACUGACGCUGAGGUGCGAAAGCGUGGGUAGCAAACAGGAUUAGAAACCCUUGUAGUC